GACGAACGCUGGCGGCGUGCUUAACACAUGCAAGUCGAACGGGAAGGCCCUUCGGGGUACUCGAGUGGCGAACGGGUGAGUAACACGUGGGUGAUCUGCCCUGCACUUUGGGAUAAGCCUGGGAAACUGGGUCUAAUACCGAAUAGGACCACGCGCUUCAUGGUGUGUGGUGGAAAGCUUUUGCGGUGUGGGAUGGGCCCGCGGCCUAUCAGCUUGUUGGUGGGGUAAUGGCCUACCAAGGCGACGACGGGUAGCCGGCCUGAGAGGGUGACCGGCCACACUGGGACUGAGAUACGGCCCAGACUCCUACGGGAGGCAGCAGUGGGGAAUAUUGCACAAUGGGCGCAAGCCUGAUGCAGCGACGCCGCGUGAGGGAUGACGGCCUUCGGGUUGUAAACCUCUUUCACCAGGGACGAAGCGUAAGUGACGGUACCUGGAGAAGAAGCACCGGCCAACUACGUG
rnacentral:rRNA from 1 species